AACUGCUAUUUGUAUAUUGCAUGAUAUUUUAUCAGGGAAAAAAAUAAAACUGAGAUCCAAUUUCAUGAAAAUGCUGUUGCCAUAAUGCUCAGGAGGACAGGGGGAAGAGAGAGAGUCAAGUCUUCCUAAUGUCUACCUCAUAUGCAGUUUCAGGUUUGACUUAAAUAUCUGGUGCUGGAAAAUCCUGAAAUGGAAGCCUCCCAUAAUGCUUCGUGAGCAGAUGCAGAGAUACUUCUGAAUUCCAGCAGCUGCCUACGUGGAACCAGGGCAAAGGGUUUCUCAAGCACAAAUCAUUAACACAGAGUGUUUGUUAAUACUACCACUGGAGGAAGCUUUCACAAGGCUACUUAAAACUACGUAAUCCUUUUAUGAAUAUUUCUGAAAGACCUGGAAAAUUUGACCACCAGGGAAAGUGAAUCCUACUGACUUGUAGAAUAUUCCAGACCUGCCAGAUCUGGGAACCACAGGAAAAUAUGCAUGAUUGAUUGGAGGAAGAAAGCCCAUGGAGGAGUCAAUGUCAGAAAAAAAAAAUCAGAUGAUAAAGCGAAGAUUUAGGGUAAAAACUGAGAAUUUCAAUUUUCAUAUGCCAGUAAGUGAAUCUCACUCUGCCUGAAGUCUCCAAAUUUCCACCAACACAUAAUUCUGGGAUGGAAUUGGUUGGAGUAGUGAUAAAGAAUGAAAGAGUUGUCUGACUUCUUCACUGUCUUGUUGGGCUGGAGAGCAUGAAGUGUGGUUCAUCAUCUCACAGUUGAAUCCAUGGUGCUGAAGAUCUGAAGUGUGGAGUAAAUCCUGAUUAAAACGGUAUCUCUGACCACUAUGAGAAGAACAGUGUGGGUGAGUCUGGAGUAGAAGAAGGAAUACCAGUUAAAAGAUGGCAGUGAUCCAAGAAAGAGAUGCUGGUGGCCUAGACCAGGAUGGUACCAAGAAAGAUGAUGAUCAGGUUGAUGGUGUGUUUCCAUCUGUCCACAUCUUAUGAUCUGCAGGUAUUUACUACUCAGAUCUUCAGCUGACAUGUGAGGCUCCUCUGAGAACAGGGUAGCCCAUGCUGUGCCAUGAGGGUAAUGACUCUUAUUCAGAAUUAGAACAUACUUCCUCAUCCAAACAGUUCAUAUGACCACCCAAAAGCCAAAACAUAACUUGUAGGGGAAAAGUAAAGAAGUUACCAAACCUAAUUAAAAUUCUAAUUAGACUUCUCCCAAUGUUUUGGUAAGUCGCCCAUCCCUGUGGUUUAACUUCCUUCUGCAUAGUUAAGAUACAGGAUGGCUGCAACCCCACAGCAAGAGAAAUUACAUAAUGUGGGCUCAGAGGGUUUAACAGCUGAAAUUAAUUUGAAGGCCUUUUAAGAGGUGCUAGGUGUUUUUCACACUUUUCCCCCACACCUGGUAGGUGUUGAUUCCCAUCGGUGAAAUGUCCAUUUGCUCUUUGAUUGAUGGGUUUUACAUAGAUGCUGUGAGGCAAAUUUAGAUUUGCUUUCAUUUAGAUUUCCCACUUUAUCAUGGGCACUUCGUUGCCACUUAAUUAAUUCAUCUUUCCGGAAGUGGCCUGAGAUUUUAAUCUAGUUUAUACAGGAAAGUGUAAACAAAAGAGGUCACCAUUGUCCCAGAAGUUGAGACACUGAGUAGAGGCACUCUGCAAGUAGACCAUGAUUAGGAUGCUUGGCAGUUGCUUGGCAAUUGUACUUGAUUUCCUGAGAUCAGUACUCAUCAGAAAGGCAAAGAUCCUUGCUAUGUAACAAAAUGCCCAUUAAAUAUAUUAUCAGCUAACUGGUUCAAGUUUCAUUGAAAUUGGAAAGCUCUUCAUUUUUCCUACAUAUUUCUAGUACUUGGCUGAGCUAACAAAAUUCUUGACCCUGGCUUGUGAAGCAAAAUAGAUUCCUUACUUACCUGAGGAUUUUUUAAAACAAAAUACCCAUUAUAUAGACAGGCACAAUGGCAAAGCCUCACAGUUGCUGGAAUAUCCAUCUCUAGUAGAAUGCAAAGCACACAAAUAUUUCUUAGUACCUCAGAAACUAAAGUCCUAACCAGUAGAAAUAAGCCAGGACCUCAUCUCCUUUUUUUUUUUUUUUAAUCCAAAAUUCCCCAUGCUACACCCAGGCACAUGUUUAUAGUUUCCAAGUUAUUACUCUUGCAAAAAAAAAUUAAUCUAAAACUUUGACAAACUACAGCACUUUUAUGGGUUUCCAUAGUGGCUUUUCUAUACUGCAGUAAAUUCACUAUGAAAAUUGUUAUUAUAUUAAUCAUAAGUGACUCAUUUAAAAUUAUAGUUUGGGAUCUCUUAUUUUUAAAAAGAUCCAAUUUCAUUUGUAUCAUUGCCCAAGUUUAUUUUUUAACUUAAAAUUCACAUCACAAUUCAGAAUAGGAAAUGCCACCGGAAAGUUGUUUUUCAAACCAAGAAUUUUGUUUCCAAAAAGAGAGAAUGAGAGAACAAAUAAACAUGAUAAUGCCAAUAAUUAAGUGUUACGUGAUUUUUAUAACCAAGCAGUUUAUUACAACAGCUUUUGUGGGUGGUACAAAAUAUUUGAACAGGUUUUCAAACCAGUUGGCGAUUUAUGAAAUAUUAGUGAUUGUUAUUACAGGUUGAGUUUUAUGAUCCGUGGUUGAUUUAUUUGUAUGGAACUCAGAAGGACACAUACCAGGCUAUUACUCUGCUUUGAAAAUACUGCUUAGUACCUGGUUCACCUUUGAACCACUUCUUAGGGUACUUUAGGACUCCAAGAGGGAGAAGCUAUCUGAGAAAGCAAAUGGGUUUCAAGGAAGAAGGAAAGGUAUGUGAAAUGUUCUUGCAAAGUUAGUUGAAUAUCUAUUAACUAUAAAAGUAAUAUAAAAUAAUAGCUAGUCCAUAUAAAGGGAAAACCCAGGUGAAUACAUUUAUGUUAACUUAGGAGUACCUUACACAACUGACCCCCGAAAACACUUUCAUCAAAUAAAAACCAACUCACAACUGAUGCUAAAAGAGUACGGAACCCACAAAUAGAUGAGCUUCACCAGUUUUCCCCUUCUUAAGUAAUACUACCAGAAAAGUAGAUGAAGAGAUGAACCAUAGAAUAUUCAAGAUU